rnacentral:misc_RNA from 1 species
UUUUUUUUUAUGAGUUUUUUAAGGGAUUUCAAACAGUGUAAGUUGUAAGAUUAGUUCAACGAAUUUAGGAGAUCAAUUUUACUUAUAAUCUCAUCUCCAUUUUAGUGGGUUUUUUAUUCGUAGCGAAAAUGGUUCAAAAGCGACAGAUGUUACACACUUACACUGGUAGUUUUUGUAGGUUAAGAGCACCGUAAAUACACAACAUAUCACAUGAGUUUCUAUGGUGUGUAUUUACGGUGCUCUUAACCUACAAAAACUACCAGUGUUAAGUGUGUAACAUCUGUCGCUUUUGAACCAUUUUCGCUACGAAUAAAAAACCCACUAAAAUGGAGAUGAGAUU